rnacentral:rRNA from 1 species
UACGUAGGGGUGCAAGCGUUAAUCGGAAUUACAUGGGCGUAAGCGUGCGCAGGCGGUUAUGUAAGACAGUUGUGAAAUCCCCGGGCUCAACCUGGGAACUGCAUCUGUGACGUAGCAUGAGCUAGAGUACGGGUAGAGGGGGAUAGGAAUUCCGCGUGUAGCAGUGAAAUGCGUAGAUAGUGACGGAGGAACACCGAGUGGCGAAGG